UUCUUCGGAGAGUUUGAUCCUGGCUCAGGACGAACGCUGGCGGCGUGCCUAAUACAUGCAAGUCGAGCGGACCUCUUCGGAGGUCAGCGGCGGACGGGUGAGUAACACGUGGGCAACCUGCCUGUAAGACUG
rnacentral:rRNA from 1 species